CCCUGAAGCAAGCCUCCACUUUGACCACCCCGCUCCUAUCCGAUGGGUGACGUCCCUGUCAAUCUCUCCGUCCCCAUGGAUCACAGACCCAAGAUAUCUCACACUGUCCCUCUUGGCGAUGGCCUAAGAACCAAGCAUCACUUCCGCGCUUACCCCACUCGGCUCCUCGCCAAACUUGCACUCCAGAUAUUCUGUCUUAGAUCUGCUAANNNN
rnacentral:lncRNA from 1 species